UGCAAGUCGAGCGGCAGCACGGGUACUUGUACCUGGUGGCGAGCGGCGGACGGGUGAGUAAUGCCUAGGAAUCUGCCUGGUAGUGGGGGAUAACGCUCGGAAACGGACGCUAAUACCGCAUACGUCCUACGGGAGAAAGCAGGGGACCUUCGGGCCUUGCGCUAUCAGAUGAGCCUAGGUCGGAUUAGCUAGUUGGUGAGGUAAUGGCUCACCAAGGCGACGAUCCGUAACUGGUCUGAGAGGAUGAUCAGUCACACUGGAACUGAGACACGGUCCAGACUCCUACGGGAGGCAGCAGUGGGGAAUAUUGGACAAUGGGCGAAAGCCUGAUCCAGCCAUGCCGCGUGUGUGAAGAAGGUCUUCGGAUUGUAAAGCACUUUAAGUUGGGAGGAAGGGCAUUUACCUAAUACGUAAGUGUUUUGACGUUACCGACAGAAUAAGCACCGGCUAACUC
rnacentral:rRNA from 1 species